CCCCUCGUCCCUCAUUGAAGCCAUGGGAAGAAACCGCAGUAAGAGCCGGAGCUACAGUCCACGUCGCUAUAGCCGGAGCCCUCCUCGCCGGAAGCGCUACGAUGACCCACGCGAUCGCUACCGUGGUGGGCCAAGCCGCAGCUUCCGGGACCGGCGAGGGGCGCCCUCUGGGCUUCUCAUCCGCAACAUAUCAUUAGACGCCAGGCCAGAGGAUCUAAGAAUCCCAUUCGAACGUUUUGGUCCUGUGAAAGAUGUUUAUCUUCCGAAGAAUUAUUACACCGGGGAGCCGAGAGGUUUUGGUUUUGUUAAGUAUCGAUAUCCUGAAGAUGCAGCUGAAGCAAAGCUCCAGAUGAAUCAUCAAAUUAUCGGAGGGCGUGAAAUUUCUAUUGUAUUUGCUGAAGAAAAUCGAAAAACACCACAGGAUAUGCGAGUGAGUGCUCGUAUAAGCAGUGGAAGAUAUAAUGGUUACAGUAGAGGACGUUCUCCACCAAGAUCGCCAAGGCGUCGUUACCGAUCAUAUUCACGGUCCUUUUCUCCAAGGCACGAUUCAAGAUCAUUAUAUUGAAAAAAGUUAAAGAAUGAUUGGAUUGUAAAGACUUAAAAGUGAUAGAGAGAUCCAAAGUUUUUGCCCCUUAGUUUCCCAUCUUGUGAAGCUAUCCACACGAAGUUGAUUAAAUCUUCAGACAUAAUUCCCGUUGAUCACAUGGUUUGCUUGAUGAUCAACAAAUCCCUAAUGUAGAAUUCUUUUCCAUUUUAAUAUGUAAGUUUAUUUAUCUUGCUUUUGUAUACUAUCCAGUUACAAAGAAAUUAAAGCCUAUAGUUACAAAAGAUAAAGGACUGGUGAUCCGCAAAAAGACUGGGAGGUCAAAAGCCCUUUAAUUCUCUCCAUUGCUAUCAUACAUUUGUUCAAAAUAAAGGAAUGGUUCUAUGAAAGAUGUGCGAAAGAGCUCGGAAGAAAGAAAGUAUCAUAAUUUUGUUCAGUAUCUAUGCAGUAUGGAUAUAAUUCAGAGGGCACGAAAGGGCUACGCGAGAUGAGUACUACUCUCCUCCAAGAUCCCGGACUCCACCCGCAGGUGGUGAUGGCCAUUA